rnacentral:tRNA from 1 species
GGGUUAUGUUGUUAUAAGUGGUUGUUUUGUAUGAACUUUUAAUCCGUUGGUCGUCGGUUCGAUCCCGAUACGUCCCACCA